ACUCGCUGACAAUGGGUGUGACUUUCAAAACUUUAAUAUCCGGGAGUGAUUGACCAACUCCUCCACGCCUUGGGGAGCGCUUCCCCUCGCAGGCCAGUUGCCUUGGUAAGGAAUGUGACAGGCGGACAUGCGCCUUCGGGCAUACCGGAGACUACACAAUGGCCACGUCUCUCAGAGACGCCAACAGCGUGGCCCUGGCUGACUGUCAGGUAUUGAUGUGUGCGUUAUCUGGAACCCACGUUUCAGUUAAUGUGGAAGUGACAGAACUUUUACCUUCCACACUCUAGGGAAUGAUUUCGGAUGUUUGUCGGAAAUGGAGGUUUGGAAGAACUAUUGUCAGUGUGUACAGCCGUUCUCAGACGACCAUGCAGAAAUUGGCAUAUUAAAAAAUAAACACAAGUCGCUAACUGUGAGUAUGGACAACUCUGAUGGCGACAUUCCUUCCAGAAGGAGCACGCUUGGGUCAGGAUUGGAACCCGCUGAGGAGUACGCCCACAUGCACAAUGCGGAACUGAGGGAUGUCGGGCUUGAAGACCUAUCCUGAACGACGUCAUCAAGGACAUAACUCAUCGCACGACAUCGUCACAAUCUAGUCACCUGGUGACGAAUCUACGGACCUGAAAACUCCCUUCUGACUAAAUGGCAGAUCUUGCGUAUGGACAAGAACAGCAUAUGUUAGGAGUGCGGUGAUGUUCCUACCAGUUUCAAGGACAACAAUGGUCAUCCUAAUUGCGAUCAUUCCCCGAUUCGAAAGUUAUUGAACACGAACGGGUCAUUUUAACCACAGGGGCAAAACAUCCAGGAAAUGUAUGCAGUGUUCCCCCAGGAGUAACAACAACAACAACUUACACUGAGCAGGGUCUUCAACUCACACUGAUGAGGAUGUUCAAGUCACAUUGAGCAGGGUGUUCAAUUCACAUUGAGCAGGGUGUUCAACUCACAUUGAGCAGGGUGUUCAGCUCACACUGAGCAGGGUGUUCAACUCACAUUGGGGAGGGUGUUCAACUAACAUUGAGAGGGUGUUCAAUUCACAUUGAGCAGGGUGUUCAACUCACAUUGAGCAGGGUGUUCAGCUCACACUGAGCAGGGUGUUCAACUCACAUUAGGGAGGGUGUUCAACUAACAUUGAGAGGGUGUUCAACUCACAUUGAGCAGGGUGUUCAACUAACAUUGAGCAGGGUGUUCAACUCACA